UAUAAACUGAUAAAUUUCACAGAAAGGCACAUUACAACUGGGUCUGAAGCUGUUACAUGCAAAAGACGAGAUAUCCAGAAAAUUUUGAAGAAUUGUAUGAUCUAUAACAAGAUCUGAGGACAGUAGGACCUGGAAGUACUAUAUUACCAACUUCAAGUAGAUUAACUGCUUGGGAAUUUACAAAUCAACUGAUAAAGAAGAAGACUAAUUUUUCCAUUUAGAUGAACUUGGAAACAAUUAUUGACAAAUAAUAUAGUAUAUUAUUAUUCUUGUUAAAAUCAACAGAGAGAGAGAGAGGAAGGAUAGGAGGGAGUCAAUUGUAAAGAUUUAUUUCUUUUUAACCAGACAUGUCGAUUACAUUAGAAUUUCAGAGGCCUACAGUUUUAGCAUUACAGGGCUUAAAUGGUCAUUCAUGAAAGUAGUUAAAGCAAUUUAAUGUUAAGACUUUGAUGUGACCAGAGAGAACAAUCAUGCAGCUGGCAUUGGUUUAAAUCUCUUUUUUUAAAGAUGUUUUGGUUACAAAUAAAUAAAUCUGUGUGGAACGUCAAAAAAUGUAAAAAAAUAAUUUGUGGUAUUUUGUACAGUUUCAUUAUGCAAUAUGAAUACAUUUAUGAUUACUAUUUUUAAAGAAGUAUUAUCAUUAGAAUGAGGAUGGAAAAUGUUUUUAACAUUUAUUUGAGACAGAGUUUUGCAUUAUUUUAUUAAAAUAAUUAAAUUCUUUAUCUAUGGAUGAAGGACAAACAGGGAAAACAGACAAAGCUGUUAUUCUAUGAUUUUCAAAUUGUAUUUAUUUACAUUUGAUUGAUUAGUUGAAGAUUAACUACAAGUAUUCAGCAUAGUACAAAAUUUAGGAUGCACUGCAAGUGUAUCUUUAUAGUUAUCAUCACACUAUGUCCAAUCUAGAUGUACAACACUCUUUUUUAUAGUGUUCUGUAAAUUAUCAGGGACACCAGUUGUGAUGAAUGGAAAGACUGGCAGGCUGAGAUUAUACAAGGGGAGGGAAUACCCCUGCUUAUCUUUUCAUACUGGUAUAGUUCCUUUGGUAAAGGUUUUGUACAAAUGUUGUUCAUAUCAGAUGUAUACGUUUU